GCUGCGUUUCAGUGUGAUAAGUAUCUUCACUGAUAAAAGUUCCUUUGGGACACGAUUGCAAAGUGGGCUCUGCGCUUCCAACUGUCUGUUAAUGGACAAUACUUGACAAUUUGGCCUCAAAUCGGGUGGGACUACCCGCUGAACUUAAGCAUAUCAAUAAGCGGAGGAAAAGAAACUAACAAGGAUUCCCCUAGUAACGGCGAGUGAAGAGGGAAAAGCUCAAAUUUUGAAUCUGUCGUCUUUGGCGAUCGAGUUGUAAUCUAGAGAAGUGUUUUCUGCCUUGGACCACACAUAAAUUCCCUGGAAUGGGGUGUCAAAGAGGGUGAGAAUCCCGUUUGUGGUGUGGACU
rnacentral:rRNA from 1 species